rnacentral:rRNA from 1 species
AUUGAACGCUGGCGGCAGGCCUAACACAUGCAAGUCGAGCGGAUGAGAGGAGCUUGCUUCUCGAUUCAGCGGCGGACGGGUGAGUAAUGCCUAGGAAUCUGCCUGGUAGUGGGGGACAACGUUUCGAAAGGAACGCUAAUACCGCAUACGUCCUACGGGAGAAAGCAGGGGACCUUCGGGCCUUGCGCUAUCAGAUGAGCCUAGGUCGGAUUAGCUAGUUGGUGAGGUAAUGGCUCACCAAGGCGACGAUCCGUAACUGGUCUGAGAGGAUGAUCAGUCACACUGGAACUGAGACACGGUCCAGACUCCUACGGGAGGCAGCAGUGGGGAAUAUUGGACAAUGGGCGAAAGCCUGAUCCAGCCAUGCCGCGUGUGUGAAGAAGGUCUUCGGAUUGUAAAGCACUCUAAGUUGGGAGGAAGGGCAGUAAGUUAAUACCUUGCUGUUUUGACGUUACCGACAGAAUAAGCACCGGCUAACUCUGUGCCAGCAGCCGCAGUAACAC